rnacentral:rRNA from 1 species
UACGGAAGGCAGCAGUGGGGAAUAUUGCACAAUGGGCGCAAGCCUGAUGCAGCCAUGCCGCGUGUAUGAAGAAGGCCUUCGGGUUGUAAAGUACUUUCAGCGGGGAGGAAGGGAGUAAAGUUAAUACCUUUGCUCAUUGACGUUACCCGCAGAAGAAGCACCGGCUAACUCCGUGCCAGCAGCCGCGGUAAUACGGAGGGUGCAAGCGUUAAUCGGAAUUACUGGGCGUAAAGGGCACGCAGGCGGUUAAUUAAGUUGGAUGUGAAAUCCCCGGGCUUAACCUGGGAAUGGCAUUCAAGACUGGUUAGCUAGAGUCUUGUAGAGGGGGUAGAAUUCCAUGUGUAGCGGUGAAAUGCGUAGAGAUGUGGAGGAAUACCGGUGGCGAAGGCGGCCCCUGGACAAAGACUGACGCUCAUGUGCGAAAGCGUGGGGAGCGAAACAGGGAUUAGAUACC